rnacentral:rRNA from 1 species
GGAGGUCACUGCUAUUGGGAUUCGGCUAAGCCAUGCAAGCGGAGGGCGCGGUCGAAAGAUCGUGGCCCCGCACACUGCUCAGUAACACGUAGUCAACCUACCCUUGGGACGGGGACAACCUCGGGAAACUGAGGCUAAUCCCCGAUAGGUGAGGGACGCUGGAAUGCCUCCUCGCCCAAAGCUCCGGCGCCCAAGGAUGGGACUGCGGUCUAUCAGGCUGUUGGUGGUGUAACGGACCACCAAACCUACGACGGGUACGGGCGAUGGGAGUCGGAGCCCGGAGAUGGGGACUGAGACAAGGCCCCAGGCCCUACGGGGCGCAGCAGGCGCGAAAACUCCGCAAUGCGCGCAAGCGUGACGGGGGAAUCCCAAGUGCCGUUGGUCUUAUGAUCGACGGUUUUUAGGAAGUCUAAGAAGCUUCCAGAAUAAGGGCUGGGCAAGACUGGUGCCAGCCGCCGCGGUAACACCAGCAGCCCAAGUGGUGACCACGAUUAUUGGGCCUAAAGCGCUCGUANCCCGGAUCAGCAAGUCCCUUGUGA